AUUGAAUCCCUUCCAGAGCUGAAUAUGGAAGGCUAGGUGGGAACUUGAAGUAGUCUGACAUAUAAACAACAUCUCUGUCUGUGUUAAAAAUCUCUAGAUAUUCAUUUUCCUUUGAGUUUCUAUUUUCUACAGUCAGAUACUAUGCAUAAAUCCUGAAUAUGAUAUGCAGGUAAUAUCUAAAACAUCUUUGCAUGAGAGGGAUUGAGUAACCAAUGAGUGCUAUUUUGCUGCUUAUAGAAUCAGUGGAAUUAUGGUAGCUUCAUACAAGUUCAAUCAUAUUUUUUUCUCAUGUAUAAUUCACUAUAUAUUUGAAAAGUUUCUUUCCCUCAAUAUAUUUACAAGUUUCAAGGUUGACCUCCCUUUGCAUAAAAUUCUGAAUAUACUUAUGUACUAUAUAACUAAUAUAACUUCGCAUGACAAGGAUUGAGUGAACAACAAACACUACUGCUCUAACUUUUGAUUGCACCAUAACAUCUAUAAUCAGUGGAAUUAUGAUAGCCCCAGAUAUAAGUCUAAUCUUCUUUUUUUUUUAUAGAAGGAAAAACUAUACUGCAGAAUAUAUUUUUAAAAAAUUUCUUUUUCCUUAAUAUGUUUAGUUUAAAAUUGUCCUCCAUUAAUUACUUCUUUUAAUAAGUUGGCUAUGACUGUAAGCCUAGGAGGUGCAGUAGGAGGUAUGCCCUUUGAUGGUAUGCAAAAAGUCCUUAUAAAAAAACAUGAACCUGUUUUUCAUGUGAAACUUACCUUGUCUUACUUGGUCAUGGUUCAUAUCACUUGAUAGUGUCUUCCAUACUUGCUGAUAUUCAUACACAACAGCUAUAUCAUAUGUAGGCCUAGUAUUUUAUUUUAUGUUACUCUAGUUGUGUCUCAAGAUGGCAUGGUUUUGUGAUUUAGAAAACCUCUCUCUAGUAACAUAUGUGGAAUUAUAUAUUCUGGAAACAAGGAAAAGUGAAAAAAAAAUUUAUAGCAUAAUGAUUAGAAAUUUCUGAUAACAAAGGUGGGAGAGGAGAAAGUGAAGGAAAGAGAAGGAUAGUUUGGAAAGCAAUAAAGAAUGAAGAACAUGACAGAAUAAAAGGUAGAAUAUUUGGCAUUUGUUAGAGAACUGGGUGUUCUAUCAGGAUAUCAGCAACUUCUUUGUGAAAUUCACAUUAAAUUCUUCUUUCUCAGCUAGUGGAUAUUAAUAGUUCGAAACUUAAGUGUUGCUUGAUUUGACAAUUUUCAUUAUUAGCAUGGAGAAAUCACAUUCAACCAACCUUAAAUGCAUAAUAUCAAAUGCGGAGAGUGCCAUUACCACUUCAAGUGCAAGAAGCAAUUCUAACGUCACUGCUAUGUUAUGCAGCUGAACUCCGUUUUACAUUCUUAAUUUAUGUUACACAUUAUGCAUUACAUCCAUGCGAAGCAGUGGUUUCAAAUAUUGUUUGUAAAUGCCAGUAGAUUUUCUUUUUUUUUGAAAAGAUUGCCAGCGACAGUGUAUCGAUAUAUCCAAAAGCUCUCUAAAAAAACAGUAUUACUUUUCUAGAUAAGAAAGAAAAUAGAAUGUAAGAAGAAAGGGAGCAAAAGGGAGCGGGUGUUUGAAGAAGAAAGAAAAGAAAUGGUUUUAUUGAAAAAAAUGAAAGAAAAAAAGGAGGAAAAAGAAGCAUGCGGUAAAAGGAAAAAAGAGUAAAAAGGGUUUUCUCAGAAAAAAAAAUAAAACAAAGGGAAAAAAGGGAGGAUGAGGAGAGUACCAUUAGCACUACCACUACCACUACAACGCAUAAGAAGAAGUUCGAGCGUACCAUCACUAAGUAAGUGGAAAUUCCCCGUAGACCGUGUGUUACCGGCUCUUUUAUUCAGCUAAACUGAGUUUUCUUUAUUCUUAAUUUAUGUUAACCAUUAUGCAUUUCACCUGCUGAAACUAAGAUGCGAAGCCGGGCAUCUCAAUCUCUGACUCUUUGUUGUAUGUGCUUCCAAUAUUGUUUGCAAAUAUUAUUAAAUCAUUUUGAGAGACUGUGAGUGCCAGUAUCAGUACAUCCAAACCGCUCACAAGAUUGCAUUACUUAUCUAGCAAAAAAUAGGGAGCAAAAAAGGAUCCUGUGGUAAAAGGAGGGGGAACAACAACAAGAAGAAGUUCUGACAAUAAUUUUGAUCUUGGUUUAUUUUUUGAGAACCACGAGAGUUGUUUUUCAGAGAACUGUGAUAGGUGAAAGUUCUGGCUUAUCUUAGUUGAUGAUCUGUGCUACAUCUGUUUAUAGUACUCAAUGAUCUGUGAGCUGGUGCUUAAAUUUUCCUUUUUCUUGUCAAUCUCCAGUUUGACACCAUGAGAGUGCUAUCUAUUAUAGGAUGCUACCGCCAAAGGUCUUCAGAACAUCAAAAUUGGAGGAAGCACAUGAGGACAGUUUGGGCAAUAUCCAAAUUUCUAUCUGAUCACGGCAGCACAACCUGCAGAUUCGAAGCCAAAGCAAGCACAUCAUAGUUGAGUAAGGAGAUUACGAGUUGGGACCUUGAUACUCUAUCAGAGACAGCAAGCUGGAAAUUUUAUGCACCUGCAAAGGGUGGAAACUGAAACUGGAACCAUAUUUUGGACCUUAGUCAUCAAAGCCAUGAUAUGGCCAUGCUGGUGCUGAUCUCUUUAUGCUGAGAAGUUGGAGUACUCUGUCAAUUUCAUCCAUUAUUAUAUUCAUUUCUUUCCUUUUAUACAUUAUGUAACUAUUUUGUUACUUGAUUAUUCUUGGAGAAUUGAACUCUUAUAUUCUUCUUUAUAUGUGUGGUUUUCCUUCUAACAAUUUAGCUAGGCGUAUUCAAGUCUUCUUGAAGUGGAAGGAGAAGAAAUACGUAUAAAGCGAAGAGAAAUAAAAUGAUUCUUUUGGUUUUAGAGAGGCUGGCUGAAAGAAAGACACAAAAGUUUUAGAGGUUAUUGGUGGCAAGUCCUAUCCAAGGCAAGAUGGCAUGAAAGACGGACAUUUGAGCACUAUUAUAAUCUGUUGCUGCUGGAAACAAUCUGCCCAUACCUUGGAGCUGACCAGAGUGUUAGAGAGGUUGAUGAGAUGUUGUGUGGAUUUAAGAGUGUUGGCCAGAGAUCCCCAAGUAUCUCCCUAAUCGGUGGAUGAUGGUUGUCAGGACUUGGAUAUGAUCGCCGCUGGGCCGAUCAUAUCUGAGUGUUGAUAGAGAUAAGGAGAUCGCAAUCGGACCUUUCCUCCAAUGCUGAGUCUAAUUCCGAAACACUAUAGAUGAGGCAAUUCUCUUACUGAAGAGUAUGAUCGGACCUUCUAAGAUUCAAAAUAUUUUCUGUAUUUUGCACACUACAAGUUGAUGCAACAUUCCAAUUAGACUUC